UAGUUCUUCUGCUAUGCUCAAUACUUCAGAUCGUCAUGUGAUUUGUGCUGAAUUUUGAUUCAAUCCCAGUUGUGAGUCCUGUAAUCGUAACUCAAGUUUAUUAGGCACUAGAUACAGAAGCUCGUACUAGCAUUUUUCUUGUACUGGUAUAUUACCAUCACAGUACUGCCAUAUUUUUGUCGGCAUCACUGGGCACAGUUGGGAAGAGGUACACAGAUACAGGAGGCUCCUUACCAUCCCAAUAUCUAUUCAACCCUAUAAUGUUUAUAUUUUUAAAAAUUUAGAAUAAUAUUUUUGUAUUUACUUCUUCCAGUAGAUCGUUGAAUGUUACAACUGCUACCAGUACUAGGAUCUGAAUGAAGACCAUGUUGGGGUCUUUUGCUGGAACCACUUAUACUUGAUGAUGGUGGCUGAUAUAUGGUAGUCGGCAGGGCUGUCUGGUCCCAGUGGUGGUGGUUCUUGGGCUGGUUUUCUGUGUAGUAGUGAGGGCUAUUCCCUUGCCACUAUCACUUAUUACCUGCCUGACAGCAUCAUUGACCGUGUUUCUUAGGCUGUUGGCAGAUUUUUCAGAAUAUACAA
rnacentral:lncRNA from 1 species